ensembl:lncRNA
GAGCUACAGACAUGUGCUCUGAUAGAUAGUAUAUCUAAGAGACUGGAACUGGGUUUAGUUUAGUAACAUAGUACCCAAAUAAUAGUGACCUACACAGAAAGUGAGGCCCAUCAGAAGUCCAGAAGAAAUUCAGGACUAGUGCCUAAGCUUAAAUAUACAAUGGCCAAGAGCUAUGUCUGCAAUUCUCUUGGCCUUUCCCUGAUCAUCUAUCACAAGAUACCUGGGGCAGCUCUAGCCAUCAUGUCCACAAUUGAUGUAAGAAGGAAACGGGAGGAAAAAAAUGAGCAAGUUAAAUGACCCUACUCCUGUUUUAAGAGGUUUUCUACAGUCCCACAUUGUAAUUUACUCUUUUAUCUCAUUUGCUAGCAUUAUGUCAUGUGAUCACUCCUAUCUACAAGAGAAGCUGAGAAGUACAGCUGGGCACUUUUACUUCCCACAAUCAAAUUAUACUUGCGGUAUGGGAGCUAUUUAUGAGAGCUUGUCUUGAAGUGCCUACAUGCAACAUCAGGAUGUUCGCUGCUAUCUGCAAACUGGACCUGGCCCGGAGACAUCUGGGAUUGGACCAAGAGAACUUUGAUAUGUGAGAAAGGUGAAAGUAGAUGUCACUUUUCAUUUAUUUCAACCCUUUCUGCCCCUCCACCAAUUCAGUCCUAUUUGCCAGGCACUUGUAGGACUCACCUUUCACCAACCCUCUUCUACACCACUUGACAGUAUAAAAUAGCCUGCUUUAACCCAUGGCAAUGACCCAAGUCACAUCCAGCUUUUCCUUGCAUGCUCGAGGCAUUAGCUGAGGAUAACAAUUGUCCCUGGCUUUCUCCCUUUCCUGCCAUACGACACCCCUAGAUCAGGAAGCAUUCUUCCCAAACACACGUCAUGUGAAACAUGCAAAGCAUCAAGAGAAACUGAGGCAAAAUGAUGACUUUUGUCUCAAAAUCUGCUCCCAUCAUCACUAUAAUGCCAGCACUUUCUGCUAGGUUUUAAGCUCUUGCUGUUUUCCAAACCACCAAGAAGUAAUUUAUAAGCAGGUUUGCUUUCAUUCAAUCCUCUAAUUACUGAAUCCCAGCUAUACUACAGGCACCAAGAAUAAGGGAGAAUUCCUUCUCUGGGGGAAGCUUACAAUCUACCAAGGUCACUACACACACACACACACCCAUAUAUCACUAAGCAAAUACACACACACAUAUGUAUGUCACUGUAUUAAUCAAGGUUCUCCAGAGGAACAAAGCUAAUGGAAAAAAUAUAUAUAUAUAUAUAUAUAUGUAAAGGAGAGUUUAGUAAGUAUUAACUCACAUGAUCACAAGGUCCCACAAUAGGCUGUCUGCAGACUGAGGAGCAAGAAAAGUCAGUCUGAGUUCCAAAACUGAAGAACUUGGAAUCCUAUGUUCGAGGGCAGGAAGCAUCCAGCACAAGAGAAAGAUGUAGGCCAGGAGGCUAGGCCCAUCUCUCUUUUCACAUUUUUCUGUCUGCUUAUAUUCUAGCCUUGCUGACAGGUGAUUAGAUUGUGCCCACCCAGAUUAAGGGUGGGUCUGCCUUUCCCAGUCCACUGACUCAAAUGUGAAUCUCCUUUGGCAACACCCUCACAGACACACCCAGGAACAAUACUUUGCAUCCUUCAAUCCAAUCAAGUUGAUACCCAGUAUUAACCAUUACAGUCACUAACACACACACACACACACACACACACACGUGUUUGCUUAGGGACACAGAUAUAUACACUGUGCUGGAAUGGUGGCGUGCACACAUGCAUAUACAGGAGCACAGAGAAGGGAUAUUUCACAGAAGUAGAGAAAUUAGAGCUGAUUUCUGCGGUAGAAGAUACAUUAUUAGCUGAAUCUUCAAAGAUACGAAAGAAUUCGUCAGGUAAAAAAGAAGAAAGAAGGCAGAGGAAAUCGUAGGAGCAAAGGCACAGAAGCAAGACAUCUAAGGGGAGAUGGGAACAGGCAGUUUUGUACUACAAGAGUGAACAUAUGAGGCUAGGAAUGAAAUGAGAUGAAGCAAGACAUACAAACCAGGACAAGGUCAUGGGAGGCCUUGUAUGCCAUGCCAAGCAACAUAGAUUUUAUUCCAUGCAGAGGAGCAGUUGAAGUGGUUUCAGCAGGGGAGCUAUAGGAUGAGAUUUAUGCUAUGUGCAGGUCACUAUGGUUCCUAAGCAGAGGAUGAAUUUAAGAGGGAAAAGGCAGAAGCAGGUGGCGGUUAGGAAGCUGUGGCAGCAAAGCAGAAAGGCAGUUAUGAGGGAGAUCAUCAUGGAGACAAAGGAAGGGGAUGGAUUCAAGAAAAUAUGUGGGAGGGAAAAACUGGCAGUAUUUGGUGACUACCCAGAUCUAUGAAGUAAAAAAGAGGUAGAAGAUUAAGAUGACUCCCAGGUUUGUGACUUCAGUGACUAUGGAUAUAAAUAUAGAAGAAAAAGUUGGCAUAAGGAGGUAAAUGGAUACUGUGCUCUGUCUUACACACAUUGCAUCUGUGACGAUGUCUAUGGGAAGAUGCUCAGUGGAUAUGUCCAGAACUGGUAUCUGGAAUCUAUAACUGAGGGAUGAGGUCAGGUCAGGAGACAGAGAUGUGUGCAUUAUUAGCCUAUAGGAGUUAUUAAAACCACAGGGUAAUAUGGGAGUCACUUUACCAAAAUGUGUUUCACAAGAGUAGCAGUAGAACCUCUGAGGGAGGGAUGAGAACUACCAUUGUUGAAAGGGAAAGCACUAUAAGAGCAGCCCAUGAAGAACAGAGCAGAGAAACAGAGCAAAGGAAGAGAAUCAGGUGAGAACUGUAGAAGCCAGGGAGGCUGAGAGUUUCAGGAAGAAUGGAUUUGUGGAAAAACAAAGCAAACUGAAUAUAUGUAUUUACCUCUUUCUUCUCAAGAACAAAACGAAGCAUCAUAAAAAUAGUUUAAGUUAUAAAUGCUUAGAGAGAAUAGAAUAGGAGAUACCCACAGAUUAGAUAUGUCAACAAAGUUUUGGAAUUUGUUAAGGAGAUGGGCAAGUGUCGCUAACUUAGCAAAUUGGAGGAAAUUAAAACAUGUGUUUACAAAAAGUUCAGGGUGAGGGUGGAAGAAUACAGAAAACAUUCUACUUAUAUAGCAUGCUUAGGAACUGGAGAGCAAGUACCUUCAAAGCUCCAAGUAUGAUUGGGCUGAAAAUGGAAAGAUAGUUAAAGUUUUUAUAAAGAAGAGUAAAAAUAGCCAGCCACAGUGGCUUAUGCCUAUAAUCCCAGCACUUGGAUAGGCUGAAGCAGGAAGACCGCUUGAGGCCAGGAGUUUGAGAUCAGCCUGGAGAAUAUAAUGAGAAUCCCAUGUCUACAAAAAUAUGUAUAUAUAUUUAUUUAAAAAUUAGCUGGGUGUGGUGGCAUGCACGUGUAGUCCUACCUAUUUGGGAGACUAGCAGGAGGAUCAUAUGAGCCCAGGAGUUUGAGGUUACAGUGAGCUAUGAUCAUACCACUGCACUGUAGCCUAAGUGACAAAGUGAAACCCUGUUUCUAAAACAGAAGGAAGAAAGAAGAAGGAAGAAGAGGAAGAAGGAAGAAGAGGAAGAAGGAGAAGGAGGAGGAGGAGACUGAUUCCCCCUGCCCCCAGCUGGCAACUUUCCUGCCCCAUUCCAGCUGAAGAUUGAACUUUUAACCUCUGGAGAAGUUGAACCAGAGAGAUUUUUGUCUGAGGGUCACCACGUCCAAAUAACAGUAGGAGCAAGAAAUCUCAGUGAAAAGAGAAUGGGUCAGUAGAACUUGUAUUGAGUAGUGGGAUUCACAUCUUCCUCUCCUCCCUGGCUCUCCAAAUGCUGGUAGCUCUCCUUACCUCCACUCUCAAAAACGCAUUUCCCAUAUAUCAAGCAGGAGGUGAAAGAUGCUUCCUGUCUGGGAAAACUGACCUGCAUAAGAGAAAAUAAUUAUACAUACUGACGAUUGGAGAUGCACCAAUAAAAUGCCAAGUCAUAAACUUAUUAUUAGCCUUCACUGAAAUUCUGCCAAACACGAGAACUCCCAAUCACUUCCACUUUCCAUAAUUGGAAUGUUCCACUAAUGGAUAUCACGCAUUCAAGGAAAGCACCUAAUAUGAAAACAAAAGUACAAACAAACAAUUUUUUAAAAAAGAGAUCUUGGAGGAAACAGGGGCAAUGCAAAAAAGCUUCUAAAAGAUAUAAUUAAUAUCUU